rnacentral:rRNA from 1 species
UACGAAGGUGGCAAGCGUUGUUCGGAUUUACUGGGCGUAAAGAGUGCGUAGGCGGUUUAACAAGUCAGGAGUGAAAGCCCAAGGCUCAACCUUGGAAUUGCUUUUGAAACUGUUUUACUUGAAUCCGGUAGAGGUUGGCGGAAUUCUCAGUGUAGAGGUGAAAUUCGCAGAUAUUGAGAGGAACACCAGUGGCGUAAGCGGCCAACUGGACCGGUUUUGACGCUGAGGCACGAAAGCAUGGGGAGCAAACAGG